UGCAAGUCGAGCGGAUGAGAAGAGCUUGCUCUUCGAUUCAGCGGCGGACGGGUGAGUAAUGCCUAGGAAUCUGCCUGGUAGUGGGGGACAACGUUUCGAAAGGAACGCUAAUACCGCAUACGUCCUACGGGAGAAAGCAGGGGACCUUCGGGCCUUGCGCUAUCAGAUGAGCCUAGGUCGGAUUAGCUAGUUGGUGAGGUAAUGGCUCACCAAGGCGACGAUCCGUAACUGGUCUGAGAGGAUGAUCAGUCACACUGGAACUGAGACACGGUCCAGACUCCUACGGGAGGCAGCAGUGGGGAAUAUUGGACAAUGGGCGAAAGCCUGAUCCAGCCAUGCCGCGUGUGUGAAGAAGGUCUUCGGAUUGUAAAGCACUUUAAGUUGGGAGGAAGGGCAUUAACCUAAUACGUUAGUGUUUUGACGUUACCGACAGAAUAAGCACCGGCUAACUCUGUGCCAGCAGCCGCGGUAAUACAGAGGGUGCAAGCGUUAAUCGGAAUUACUGGGCGUAAAGCGCGCGUAGGUGGUUUGUUAAGUUGGAUGUGAAAGCCCCGGGCUCAACCUGGGAACUGCAUCCAAAACUGGCAAGCUAGAGUACGGUAGAGGGUGGUGGAAUUUCCUGUGUAGCGGUGAAAUGCGUAGAUAUAGGAAGGAACACCAGUGGCGAAGGCGACCUGGACUGAUACUGACACUGAGGUGCGAAAGCGUGGGGAGCAAACAGGAUUAGAUACCCUGGUAGUCCACGCCGUAAACGAUGUCAACUAGCCGUUGGAAUCCUUGAGAUUUU
rnacentral:rRNA from 1 species